GUUGACCUCGGAUCAGGUAGGAAUACCCGCUGAACUUAAGCAUAUCAAUAAGCGGAGGAAAAGAAACCAACAGGGAUUGCCCUAGUAACGGCGAGUGAAGCGGCAACAGCUCAAAUUUGAAAUCUGGCCUCCCCACGGGGGUCCGAGUUGUAAUUUGCAGAGGAUGUCUUCUGGCGCGGUGCCUUCCGAGUUCCCUGGAACGGGACGCCACAGAGGGUGAGAGCCCCGUAGCGGUCGGAUACCAAGCCUGUGUGAAGCUCCUUCGACGAGUCGAGUAGUUUGGGAAUGCUGCUCUAAAUGGGAGGUAAAUCUCUUCUAAAGCUAAAUACUGGCCAGAGACCGAUAGCGCACAAGUAGAGUGAUCGAAAGAUGAAAAGCACCUUGAAAAGGGGGUUAAACAGUACGUGAAAUUGUUGAAAGGGAAGCGCUCAUGACCAGACUUGCGCCGGGCGGCUCAGCAGGUGGUUCUGCCCCUGUGUACUCCGUCCCGGUUCAGGCCAGCAUCGGUUCUCGUUGGGGGAUAAGAACGGUGGGAACGUGGCCCUCCCUCGGGGGGGUGUUAUAGCCCGCCGUAACGAUACCCUGGCGGGGACCGAGGUUCGCGCAUCUGCAAGGAUGCUGGCGUAAUGGUUAUCAGCGACCCGUCUUGAAACACGGACCAAGGAGUCGUCCUUUAGAGCGAGCGUCUGGGUGUCAAAACCCGCACGCGUAAUGAAAGUGAAAUUAGGUGAGAGCCCUCACGGGCGCAUCAUCGACCGAUCCUGAUGUUCUCGGACGGAUUUGAGUAAGAGUUUUAACGGACGGACCCGAAAGACAGUGAACUAUGCUUGUAUAGGGUGAAGCCAGAGGAAACUCUGGUGGAGGCUCGCAGCGGUUCUGACGUGCAAAUCGAUCGUCAAAUAUGAGCAUGGGGGCGAAAGACUAAUCGAAC
rnacentral:rRNA from 1 species